ACACAAGAUGGGCACCACGCGCAAGAUUGUGCCAACCAAACUACGCCCACUCUGGGUGUUUUGAUGGGUAUCAUAUGUCGUCAAACACCUGCUUACUAUCACCUAUCUAACUUGCCAAGUUUUAUGCGUAGUGACAAUUUUUUCAACCUGAUGUAAAAUGGGAUGACGUCACAAGAAAGUAAAGGAUAGCGCACCAAUGCGAUAGGCCUAACAGUAUGAAAAAUUGUCCAAUUCCAAUACACCUACUUCUUGGAAGACAAUUUAUGUAGCUCUUGUGUCAAGUUAACUUCUGCUUCACAAACAAGGACCGAAACCUGUUACUGGGUGUCUACGUUAUUGGUGAUGAAGAAAUGAGAAAUUUCCAAACUUUCGUGCAACAAUUUAUUGUUGUUAGACCUAAGGUUCAUUUGGUUAUGUCAAUAAUUUCUUGUUGUUAGGCCUAAGGUUCACCUGGUUAUUUCUAAAUGGAAAUUCCGCACUCACGUGACUCCCGUAGCAACCUGCUGUUACUCAAACUACUUAGAAUUUGCAAAUAUGGCUACAUUACAUACAACAGUAGAGAGGUAAAACAGGCAAGUACUUGGUGUAGGUAAACAAUACUAACGCCAGGAAUGAUAUUUUAUUACAUGUUAAUAAACGUUCAAAAUGCA